GCUCCCGGGGCACCACCAGCCCGGAGCAGGGCUGCUCGCAGCCGCCUCUGCACAAACACGGGCAUGAGAUGAUUUCCCCCCUCGGAGGCCCAAGGAAGGGGCUUCACCAGCCGUGCGUGCACCCAGGGCAGCGACGGGCACAGCCCCGGCCCUGCUGGGCCGUGCGGCCCCCCCCCCCCGGCCCCGUGCCACUUCUCGCCCCCUCCGCUGCCUCUUCCAAACCCACCGGCCGGGGCUGCGCGCCGCACGGUCUGCGUCCCAUCUGCUCGCCUGGCCCCCGGCCAGCCUUCAAUACACCCGGCUCUGGAUCCGCACGCAGUAAACAUUUACAAUUUUAGGAAAUUUUACCCUUAAUUUAUCCCAAAGGCACGCAAGCAAAGUUCAAAGCCGUAAACCCGCUCUCUCGCCGCCGAGCGCGGCAACCAGGACGUGAACUUUAGCUGAAGAGCAAGAAAUUCCUCAGCUUCCACGAGGCAAAUCCCCACCGGUGUCAGGCAAAAAGGGGGAGGCAGGCGAAGGAGCAGGGCUGCAGGGAGGGGACAUGGAUGCCACCAACAUCCCCUCGUGCAAAACGCCGGCUCACAGCAGGCUCGGGGACCCCCAUAACGCUUGCACGGCCGUAUCCUGCAGACACGGGCUGUUCGAGGCCAUGGCAAAGAGUUCAGAGCCAGCCCAAAGCUUUUUUGUCAAAAUAACACCACACCACGGGCUCGCCGAGCCAGGGCCGCCAAACACUCCCCAAACAACCUCGCUGCUCGCCCAAGGCAGUGCUUGGAGCGGCGCAGCCAUGCGUUGUUCUCCUCCGGUGUUUACCCAGCGCCACGCUUUCAAUGCAGGUAUUACCUUUAGGUUACAGACUUAGCUAAAACACAUAGGUUUUUUUGUUUGUUUUUUUUUUCCCCAGCCCGCUAUUGUUCGGGUUUGCUCUGCGUCCCGGUCCCCGCACCGGCGCUGCCUCCCCUCCUCCUUCAACCCACUUCAGCCGACCGCAGACACGAAGCUCAGCACCCCCAGAACCUCGCUGCAUCCUCCUGCCCCCUGCCAACCUCCGAGCCGUCACCUCUCCGGAUAAACUGGCCGAGGAAGAUGGGGAAGCCCUCGGAGGCAGCCGGCUGAGAACGCAGGAGCAUCCCCCGGGAGGUGCUGAGCAAACGGGGGCCGUCGCUCAGCCAAAAGGUGGUGGCAGUGGGCACCCUCCUGUCCCAGCACCGGACACGUCCCACGGCAAGCGGCUGCUGCUGAGAGCAGCUUCCAACCCUCGACAUCGGAGCAGGAGACAAGCAAAGAAGCGGCCGUCGUGCAAGGCUGGCCAACGGCAACUGCUUUGUGACGGUCGGCUCGCAUCGACAGCCCGAUCGCACCGGGGGGGUCCCGAUGUGUCGGGGCCAUUUAUUCCCCCGGGGGUUGAGAAUCUGUGCCCUUAUCUGCCCGGUUAUUUAUGUCCCUGUUUGAUUUAUGAGUCAGCCUCACGCACGGGGUAAAAGUUCACGUCUCCCCCUAUCCGCGGAGCACAAAGCCACAUCUCACGGCUCCGCACCUUCCUGCUCUCCUCUCUCUUUCGCUGUGUUUUGACCCCGGCCCGGGAAGGCUCAGGGAGGCUCGACCUGCACCCAGCUCCCCUCAGAGCCCCUGUAAACCCCACCUGCUCGCUCAGGAUCUGGCCCACAGCACCAACCUCGCCUGGCUGCGGCCGUGCAGGGCCGGUGCUGGCAAAGCGAGCAGGAGACGGACCCGGGCUCGCUCCCGGCAGCGACUGCACUAAUUCUGCUCAGCCUGGUGGUGUGUAAUGAAAUGCAGGGACCCAGCGCAGCCUGCACCACCGACAAAUCUCCAUUUGCACAGUCAAGGUCUACCUAGGUAAAAAGCUAAAAGAUAUUCGUAAGCAGCUCAAAGCGUAACUUCCCGUGCCCACGCCACCGCUGCGCUGCUGCGCACAGCGUUACAUCCUUUCACCCAGAGGUGCUCUCAUGUGCACGUAACGAUGUUACACGUUCGUACAGGGAAAUACCUGAAAUAACCCGAACUCAGCUCCCUGCUCCAAUGUGCUUUGGGAAAAGCAAAAUUUGGAACCUUUUACGGUUGCCCUUUCACAUGCAGGGUGCUCAGAGCAAAGAAAUAAAUGCGUAAGAUCACCAAAUGCUGACUUCAAAGUGAACAAUCUGCUCUCAAAUAUGUUCUUUUCCAAAAUCUCCCUUCAAGAUGCAAGGAAAAGCGUAAAAAAAAAAAGGAAAUUCAGCCCCAGGAAGAGUGGAUGGAGGCUCGGGGCAGGCUCAGCUGCCAAGGGCAGCUGCCCCGACCCCCUAAAGCCGCGCACCUUUACAUCGGCACCGUGUGGCACCCAGCUCAUCAUCCCUGCCAACAUCCAGAUGCGUCCGUGCGUCAGUUCGGGAAGGGCUGCAAAGCACCAGAGGAAGCAGCACCCACGGGAUCACCAUCCUGCAGCCUUGCUCGGGGGCAGGGACGGUGCCUGCAAGCAGGGGGUGCCCUGGGGGGCCGGUGGUGAGGACAGCCUGGGGCAGAGCAGAGCAGGGACGGGGCUCUGGGCAUCCUGGCUCAGUUCAAGCUCGUCCCCACCUGGGUUAGGGCCCCGCCGCUGGCCCCAGCUGUGCCCCGUUAGCAGCCUCACGGAGCCGUUUGGCCCAAAUGUUGAAAUACCAUCACCUUGGGGCAGAAAUCCACGUUGCUCUUCCCCGUCCCCGUGUCCCUGCUGCCACCCCACCAGCCAGCACCCAGCACCCACAUGCACCGAUCCAGCUAAACAGCACCCUAAGGACGGGAAUUCUGCCUGCAGAUGACCCUCAGUUGCACUGCAACGUGAGCCAGGGCCCCCUUCCUCCACUUUGAAAUGUUUAGUUUGGGGCUAUUUUUAAAUACCCUAAGAAGACCCUAACACCAGACCUUGUUAACUCUGUUUCACUCAGCUUAGAGCUGCAGAAAUGCCCACCCAAAUUUAAAUUUUUUACAUAUUCGUAUUGGCACACGCUUAAAUCAAGUGAAUUUAAUGAUGUGGCUGCACUGAUCGCGGGUAGGGCUAGAGCUGGAGGGAGAUACAGAACCUUUUAAAGGCUAUUAAAAUAUUUUUAAAAAUUGAACACGCAGAAGCUGGGUGGUCCAAAAGCAGGGCUGGGAUUACGGCCCACCUAUAAAAAUUCCCAAUAAUACCUGCCAGUUAACGUUUACAGCUUCAUACAAACCCGCCAACCCUCUCCCUUUUGUACGAUUCCUUAAACCAUCAGCACAUUUCACAUAGAAAAUGUUACACGGCAAGGAAAUCUCAGCGCAGAGGACCAAGCUGGGGUGGCAGAAGAGUUGGGGGAAUUAUUUAAUUUUUUUCUUUGCUCUGUCCUCCAGUUCCCGUGCACAACAAGCUCGGCAGCCAGCGACACGCACGGCCCCGAUCGCUUACAGGGAACAAAAGCCUCGAGCACGGCGAGGAAAGGCGGACAAAUCGGGUGAAUAAAGACCUAAUUCUUCCCUUCUGGGGGCGAGGAGAACCUGAGAGAUGCCAAAGCCCAGCUAUGCAGAGGCAGACACGUAGGCGUGUUUGUAUCUCACUCGUCGUCUCCUGGACAUCUGAAGCGACGCCGGGACAGAGCUCGGUCCCUGGCUGUGGCUGGGAACAGGCAGAGAGCUGACGGAUGGACAGACGGACGGACAGAUGGACGGAUGAGCUGGGCUGGAGGCAAUGGGACCCCAAGGGUGCUGCCACCCACUGCAGGAGGCUCCUCAGCCACUGGCUGCCCCGGCGGGGCCGUGGGGGGAACGGGUGAUGGCCGGGGGGUGGAUGAGCACCAGGGGAUGGAUGAGCACCGUGUGUCUGCACUUGCAUGCUGAUGAGGAUCAGCACCAGAAGCUAAGAGCAAAAUUAGGAGUAGGAAAACGUUUUCUCCUCUCCCCUCUCCUGCAACGUCACCACUAAAAGGCGCCGGGGAGAGUGUGGAAAAGCCCCAGCGCGGCUCCUUUAUGCAGCCCCAAAACCUGGAACUAAACAAUUUACUAACAGAUGUAGCCAUAAAAGGCCCUAUUAUCGCAUCUUGUACAGUAACAAUGUCUUCAUUCAAGUCGCUUCCCCUCCUCUGAGGGUUUAUUUUUAAACCGUGCUGCUAAAGAGAGGAACGGGCCACUGCGGCGGCAAAGAGCGAGCCUCUCGCUCAAAGUGAGCCUUGUUUGGCAUUAUCUUGAUAAGAUAAACAGGGAUAAUGGCUUUUUCUUCCUCUGCUCUCUUCUUUGCCCUCUUUCGUUUAUUUUAACGCGAACAGGAACUGAACCAGCGAGCUUUGCAGAUCAAAGCCGGGCAGAGACCUUCGCGGGAAGGGGCAGGCGAGCACCAGGUUUCCAGGCCUCAACCCGGGGUGGGGGCAGGAGCAGGGCCCCGACACCCACCCAAGGCCCCCCUGGGAGCGGGCAGCAGCUCCUGGCACGGCCCCAAAGCUGAGCAUCCUCCAAGGGGCACCCCCUCGGUCCCAAAGCGGGGCCAGGAAGCGCAGCGGAGCAGGGCGAGGAGCGGGCUGCGAGGCUCCCGGGUGGCGCUGGGGAUUUGCUCUGUCGGGAGUCCCUGACUCCUCUCCGGGGCGAAUUUUUGGGGAGUGAGUCCGGGCAUCAAACAAGCCCUCCAGGCAGAGCUUAUGCAAGAGAAGAUGACUCAAAGUGGCGGCGUAUGUACACCUGGAGGGCAGGGACAAAAAGCAUGAGGAGGCUGAGGGGAAGAGGAGGAAGGGAGGAAGCUGCCAGGCAAGCGGGCAGAUACAAAGGGGCCCCCGGGUCUCCAGCGAUAGCACGGUUGAUAGCAAAGGACACAAAGGUCCGUGUCGUCCCUCAGGAUCUGCUCACGCAGUGCCCACCACGGGAAGGGAGGCAGGCAGCCAUUGCACAGACUUUCCACAGAGCCAGCUGUCUCUGCUGAGUAUUACAAAUCAGGCAAAAACCCUCCUCGGUCUAGACACUUAAGUAAAGGAGAAGGAGGAAGAAGUGAGAGAGAAGAGGAGGGGAGGCUGUUUAUCCAGGCGGCGGUGUAAACGCUAACAGCAGGCGAGGGGCUCGCAGCCAGCAGCCCAGUUCCCAGCCGCGGUUUGGAGACUUCCCCGCUAAGCCCGGAGCUCUCUGCACAGGGCCACAAAUACAGGCUGCAGAAGGCACCCGGCCCUACGAGCAUCCUUCAAUAAAUGGGAAGAUUUGGCCCCUUUCUCCGAUGUGACUUCGCACAGCACUCGCAGCCGGCUGCCUGGGGAGCUGCAGCUGCUGCUACCUACGGCCAUGCACUGAAAACCCACCCCAGGAGCAGGAGCACCCGGGCUGAGACAGGAUUCAGCACCGUGAAGUGAAGAGGAUCCCGGGCCUCGCUGGGUCCAGAGACCUCGUUUGUGCUGGGGAAGUCUCCUCCACAAAUCCACGUUCACUCAACCCAGGCUCCAGCAACGCAGCUGCCGUGAGCAAACCCAGCUACCUGGUUUUUAAGGACCAGGAAAAUGUUUGCGCUUUGCUCCCGAUCCAAGGACCGGAAAACAAGGUCUCCGCUCCAUCCCUGCACCUCUCCGCACCAGAGACUGAGCAGCAAAGCGCAGUAAGACCCCAGCUUUAACUUCCUGGCACUGCAACAGACUGGAAAGCAGAAGGAGCGGUGCGGGGAGCAGCUCCAGCAGCCCGAGCUGCGGCACUCCAGUUACCCCAGGCAGGCACCAGCCCUGGGCUGCUGGGACCAGCACUGCCCAGGUCCAUCCGCAGGACUCCUGACCAUCCAGGCACUGCAGAGAACAAACGUUUUCCGGCGCAGAAAACAUCUGGUGGCUCUGAAGGCAGCUCAGUGAGAACACCGCAGGCCACAGAGGUUUCCCUCUGCAGGUUCAUGCCCUGAGCGCCCGUGGAGGUUUCCUCCCUGCAGGACCAACCAUGCACCAUAACAAGGAGCUGUUCUGAGAGAGGCUGAGCGUGUCGGGGUGCCUGUGAGCACGCUGAUUUAAUUAUUCAUGCAGAUUUCACUUCCCAGGAACAAUUUUUUUUUGGAUAUGGGGUUAAGCCAAAACACCACGGUCAGUCUGGCUUCUGCUUAUCACCGCGAGCCCUCGCUGUGCUGCAAACCGAGCGCCUCGAAGCAGUCCUGCAGUGCCUGCUCAGGCUCCAAACAACUUUGGAAACUCAAUCCGAAAUGGCAAAAGCUCCUGUGAAAGGCAUCGAGAGGAGCAAGCAAAGGGCGAGACACUGCCUGACACGUUUCGCACACAUUUGUAAACAGAUCACCCGUGGGGAAAGCGAUUCAAGCCUGCCUUGUCUUGCUUUCCAGCCAGAGCUCGCUUUCCAGCCACCUGCUUCCUUUUUCUCAUGACCAAGAAGCGGUUUAAUAUCUGUUUACAAUAAAACGCUGUUUUCUGAAGGGCAGAGAGGUGCGAGGAUUUUGCAGGAGGGCAUUUCUUUAUCUGCUCUGCUGCUUGGGCAGGUGAGCGUGGGGCGUCUGUCCCGGCACAACCCCGCGAGCAAGGGGAGCGCCCUUUCCGGACACCCAUGCAACCUCAUUUAAUUAAGCUGAGAUCUGCUUUGCUGCAAAAAACCAUGCAUUUGUGCUCCCAAAGCCUCUCUGCACCUUCGCAGAGGUCGGGACAUCCUCACCAUCAGCACAUCGAGCACCUUCCCGCUGCCACUCACGGCACGGGGCCGCAGCUCCUCAGCCCUCGCGGUUAAUUAGCGGUGAUGAGAAUUGCACCCGAGGAGCCACAAGGCACCCGUGCUCGCUCGAGGGACGCAGGAACGGGCGUCCUGUUUAGACCGACGGGCUGCAGCAAACGCUUUGUGGGUCACCAGCACCUUCCAGACUUUCCUCUUCCCCGGAGCGCCAGCAGCGGUGAAAGCUCACCCCGUUACGUCUCCGUCUUCCCUUUUGGCAAAGGGGAAAACAUUCACGAGUCGGAAAAGACCAGCUCCCUCGGGACACCGACCCGGGCGUUCCCGUGCACAUCCUCCAUCUGAUAAAGAGGCCAGCAGCGAGGAGUCGACCCCACAUUUCGAUCCCACCCGAGCUUUAUGAGCUCCACCGCAGAUCUAUUCAUGAGCAGGAGACGGAGAUCGUGUGUGUGCGUGUGCGAACGGCAGAGAAACACCCAGCGUGUCUUCUGCUGCCUCAGCCCACAAUGAUUUCCAUUCAUUCAAAGAAAACACAGUAUUAAAUUUUUGCCUGGUUUCAAUCUCCGUACAUUAAUCAAGCCUCAGCUUUUUCUCUUUUCCUUUUUUUUUUUUUUUCCCCAGCCUGAGAGACACAGCGUGGGAGGCACAGGCUGUCCCAUGAAAUAAUAUUUUCCAAGCCGCAGUCAAAGUCUGCCCGUCAACCCGAAGCCUCCUUUCUGUCUGUUUUACCAGAGCUGGACAGGAAACAAUCUGCGGGCACAAGAGAUCGAAACCCGGCCAGCGUUCCCAGCACGACGCUGAUGAAUGGGAGCCAUUGUGCUGCAGGGGAGGAAACAUCCCCAUCGUCAUCGGGGAAAAACUACAGCUGUCUGCAUCGCCUGCACACGCACAGGGGUGUCCUGCAGCUGCACAGGAGCAGACACGGGGCAGCUCGGUGGCACGGCGUGCUCCACCGGCAAAACCAGGCACCUCUCCCUUUCCUUACAGUGGGGACAGCAUCUGAGGUUAGUGAGGCUCGGCUCCUUGGCAAAACAACACCUGCAGCUUGCAGAGGAGCGAGCAACAGAACAAACCCCGUGGGAUUUUGCCUGCCCCGGUGCUGCCGAAGGAGGGAUCGGGACCUUCCCGAGGCGCUUGGGCUCUAACCGAGAUGCGCUCCCUGGGUGAUGCAGCCAUGGGUGCCUCUGUCCCCAGGCAGGUCCCAGCCCCGGCAACGCCCAGGGGACACGAGGAGGGACACCCUGAUCCCUGCUCCAGUGCCCAAGUCCAAGAAAUGGGGGCUGAGUUUCAGCCGAGCGAUGCAAACCCGCGGGAGAAAGCAUCUCCCUGGUUCCUGGAGGUACCCGGUCUCAUCCUGGGGCAGUUUUGCCCCAAAGCUGCCUACCCAAUUUUUAACCUUUAACUUAUUUGCAUCCCCAGUGCCCUGUUGGGACCCGGUGUCCGCACCACACACGACGUAACAAAAUAUUUCAAACUAUUUUUCAGGUUUUUAGUCCUUUAUGUACGCACAGGCCGGCAGGAGCUCGGCUGUUACCACCUAGUGUCAGGCAGGAGAGGAGCAGCAACCCCGCACGGACGGGGACAGCUCGGGCACGGCUCUUCCCUGGGGUCCCACGGGGCGAGCCCCCAGCCCGCGGGGCAAACCCGAGACCUCCUCGCUCUGCCCACGUGGCACCCAGCAGGAACGGGGGCUUCUGAAAAACGCUGCUGUGGUUCAACUUCUCUUCCCGUUUUUUUUUUU